rnacentral:rRNA from 1 species
ACGAACGCUGGCGGCGUGCCUAAUACAUGCCAGUAGAACGCUGAAGGAGGAGCUUGCUCUUCUGGAUGAGUUGCGAACGGGUGAGUAACGCGUAGGUAACCUGCCUGGUAGCGGGGGAUAACUAUUGGAAACGAUAGCUAAUACCGCAUAACAGUAGAUGUUGCAUGACAUUUACUUAAAAGGUGCAAUUGCAUCACUACCAGAUGGACCUGCGUUGUAUUAGCUAGUUGGUGGGGUAACGGCUCACCAAGGCGACGAUACAUAGCCGACCUGAGAGGGUGAUCGGCCACACUGGGACUGAGACACGGCCCAGACUCCUACGGGAGGCAGCAGUAGGGAAUCUUCGGCAAUGGACGGAAGUCUGACCGAGCAACGCCGCGUGAGUGAAGAAGGUUUUCGGAUCGUAAAGCUCUGUUGUAAGAGAAGAACGAGUGUGAGAGUGGAAAGUUCACACUGUGACGGUAGCUUACCAGAAAGGGACGGCUAACUACGUG